rnacentral:rRNA from 1 species
GAUGAACGCUGGCGGCGUGCCUAAUACAUGCAAGUCGAGCGAACAGAUGAGGAGCUUGCUCCUCUGACGUUAGCGGCGGACGGGUGAGUAACACGUGGAUAACCUACCUAUAAGACUGGGAUAACUACGGGAAACCGGAGCUAAUACCGGAUAAUAUAUUGAACCGCAUGGUUCAAUAGUGAAAGACGGUCUUGCUGUCACUUAUAGAUGGAUCCGCGCCGCAUUAGCUAGUUGGUAAGGUAACGGCUUACCAAGGCAACGAUGCGUAGCCGACCUGAGAGGGUGAUCGGCCACACUGGAACUGAGACACGGUCCAGACUCCUACGGGAGGCAGCAGUAGGGAAUCUUCCGCAAUGGGCGAAAGCCUGACGGAGCAACGCCGCGUGAGUGAUGAAGGUCUUCGGAUCGUAAAACUCUGUUAUUAGGGAAGAACAAAUGUGUAAGUAACUAUGCACGUCUUGACGGUACCUAAUCAGAAAGCCACGGCUAACUACGUG